GCUUGUCUCAAAGAUUAAGCCAUGCAUGUCUAAGUAUAAGCAACCUUAUACAGCGAAACUGCGUACAGCUCAUUAUAUCAGCAAUUAUUUAUUUGAAGAUCACCUAUUACAUGGAUAACCGUGGUAAUUCUAGAGCUAAUACAUGCUAAAAACCCCGACUUCGGAAGGGGUGUAUUUAUUAGAUACAAAACCAAUGCCCUUCGGGGCUCCUUGGUGAUUCAUGAUAACUAUACGAAUCGCACGGCCUUGCGCCGGCGAUGGUUCAUUCAAAUUUCUUCCCUAUCAACUUUCGAUGUUUGGGUAUUGGCCAAACAUGGUUGCAACGGGUAACGGAGGGUUAGGGCUCGACCCCGGAGAAGGAGCCUGAGAAACGGCUACUACAUCCAAGGAAGGCAGCAGG
rnacentral:rRNA from 1 species